AGAGUUUGAUCCUGGCUCAGGAUGAACGCUAGCGGGAGGCUUAACACAUGCAAGUCGAGGGGUAAAUGGCAGCAAUGCUAUGAGACCGGCGGACGGGUGCGUAACGCGUAUGCAACAUACCUUGUGCAGGGGGAUAGCCCGUGGAAACGCGGAUUAAUAUUCCAUAGUCCAGCUAUAUCGCAUGGUAUAGUUGGUAAAGAUUUAUCGGCACAAGUUUGGCAUGCGUCUGAUUAGCUUGUUGGUAGGGUAACGGCCUACCAAGGCUACGAUCAGUAGGGGUUCUGAGAGGAUUAACCCCCACACUGGUACUGAGACACGGACCAGACUCCUACGGGAGGCAGCAGUGAGGAAUAUUGGUCAAUGGGCGGAAGCCUGAACCAGCCAUCCCGCGUGAAGGAAGACAGCCUUACGGGUUGUAAACUUCUUUUCUGUCAGAAGAAUAAGCUUGUCGAGACGAGUGAUGCCGGUAUGACAGGAAUAAGCAUCGGCUAACUCCGUGCCAGCAGCCGCGGUAAUACGGAGGAUGCAAGCGUUAUCCGGAUUUAUUGGGUUUAAAGGGUGCGCAGGUUGUUUGAUAAGUCAGUGGUGAAAGUCUGUCGCUUAACGGUAGGAUUGCCAUUGAUACUGUUGGACUUGAAUAUGGAUGAGGUAGGCGGAAUGUGUAGUGUAGCGGUGAAAUGCAUAGAUAUUACACAGAACACCGAUUGCGAAGGCAGCUUACUAAUCCAUCAUUGACGCUGAGGCACGAAAGCGUGGGGAUCAAACAGGAUUAGAUACCCUGGUAGUCCACGCCGUAAACGAUGAUCACUCGCUGUUUGCGAUAUACAGUAAGCGGCUAAGCGAAAGCGUUAAGUGAUCCACCUGGGGAGUACGAUCGCAAGGUUGAAACUCAAAGGAAUUGACGGGGGCC
rnacentral:rRNA from 1 species